rnacentral:lncRNA from 1 species
UAUGCCAAAACAAUAUCUCUAUACUUCUUGGUUAAGAGGAUAACUAACUCAUAUGGCACACAACAACCUACACUUGAUAUCGCUAUCAUCCUAGUAAUAGCGUAUCAUUUGAUCGCAAAUAAUUUUAAGGACUUAAUGACAAAUCCUCCUUCAUUGAUUAAUAUAUAUAGUCUUAAGAACUUUAUUAUAACACAAGAGUUCAAAGAUGAUCAAUUUAUAAUGAAAAUAUCAAAUAAUUUUUAUUAAU